AAAGUAGAGGAAUGGUUGCCUCGGAAGCCAGCACCUUCAAGUGUGGGUGAUGCUUUGCUAAGGUAGGGCACUCAUUUCCUGUGCCGAUGCUGGAUAGCAGCGGGGCAGAAUUCACAAGGCCAAAUCUAGGCUUGUGUGUGUUUGUGGGAGGGAGGUAUUUGUUCCUGUAUCUGGGGGAGGUGCCAGGGCCACAGCUCCACAAUGUGACUGUUACAAUGUGCCUGGAAUCAAGGCCACCAAAUGUUCUCCCAGUGGCUUUCCGCAAUCCUAGGCAGAUAUGCAUCCAUCCAGUUACCUCCCCACUUUUGUCUUCCCAGCAACUCGGCUUCCAUACCCAGCCCUGCUUCCCGGAUGCCUUAGGACAGGUGUCCUCAUCCUAUCACAAGUCAGAACCAGGAGGAAGGCCUUGAGAGCUUUGGGGAGGCCCCAGGGGAUGAGCCAUGGAUCUGAGCUCCGGAAUGACGAGCCCCCCCGUCAUAGUCCCCUUUUAAUCUCUUCCUGGAGGGAAAGGAGGGUCUUGUAUGCUCCUCCAGCCUAGAUCUGCUUGGUGGGGGAGGGGAUGUGCCCGCCUCCCCUUAUAAAUCAGUAGCUGCUCAGCGUCUAGGAUGGGGGAGGGCGCAGGAGCAAGACAAUUAAGAAUAAACGGGUUUUAAAAAUAAUAUGGGCGAGGUCCCUGGGAAACCAGGCCUGCCAUGCUCCCCUUCCAGUCCCACAUCUCUGUGUCUGGGGACACCACUUAGGGACCCUGGGAUAAAUCAUCCCAGGCUUGAAUACCGCGCCCUCCACCACCGGCCCCCUCAUCCCCAACCCGGGCGAGCCCCGCCGCAGCCUCUGCACUCACACCACCAGGCGAGAGAUGAUCCAGGACACCAUGGCGGGGCGGGGACCCAGCCCGGGGUAUGGAUGCAGCUGCCCGAGGCCGGCGGCUGAGGCAGCAGGAGCCGCUGUUAGCAGCGGCAGCGGCUUUGGGGUCAGCGGAGCGUGGAGUUGCCGCCGUUAAAGGGGAGGUCCCUGCCGCAGCGGCGGUCCGUGGGCGGUGGCGCCUCUUAAAGGGGAGGCCGCGGUGUCGGCGCGCCCCCCCAGCACCUGCUGUGCCUGGGCAUGCGCCUUCACCCUCUGUGCCCAGCUUUCCUCUAAAUCGCCUGUUCACUUUCCUCGAGCUUCAAGUCGGUGCCCAGAGUCCUGGCGGGGUUCCCUUUUGGUUCCAUCCUUUGACAGCAGCUUCGGCCCACCUCCCGCCCUGCCCACAUCAGGUUGAAGGUUAAAUAUCCCACGAGGAGUAAGGGCUGCUUUGCUUAACUGUGAGCCUGUGCUUAGAGCUUCGCGUGUUUCAUUGAAUCCUCACAACUACCCUGUAAGGUAGACGUUAUAAUUAUCCUCAUCCUGAAGAUGGGGUUUAUUGGUUUCACUACUAUGCUGAUGGCUACAAAACCACUAAGCCAUACGUGUUUAAUAGGCUACAUCCUCCAAACACUGUCAAAUUCUCCUCCCUGUUAUAGGCUCCUUAAGGACUUCCACCUGGCUCGGCUGCACCUGUCCACUCCAGUCCUCAUCAAGAACUGCUAAGUCCCAAUUUAACAGAAUGUUUUGACCUGACUUUUGGUGGUAAAUUGUGUGUGUAGUUUAGGGAGAUGUGAAGUUUAAUUUAAUAUGGGUGUGUGUGUAUGUGUGUGUGGGGGGUGGAUAGGAGAGAGGAGUGGGUCUCAAGUCAGUGUAAAGUCCAGAGACCUCGGUUCCACUCGCAGCAAGUACCACUGGUAGUGAAUGUCCUAAUUCUGAAGACAUUUAUAUCCAGAAUGUAGGCUAGCCUGCCUCCCGUUUUCACCAAAGCAGCCACAUUCCAAAGCAUCCCUCCUCCACUGUCCUCCUUCUCUGUCCCACUUUAGAGCUGCUGCAUCCCGGGUCUUUAUGAUGACCACACUGUUAACCUGUCCCACCAGGCUGAAAGGACACGCUCACAACUCUGUAUUUCAAAGCGUUAUGAUGGUAUUCAAACCUAGCAUCCUUGAAAACCACAAAUGGUCUAUUUCCACCCUGGUAAUUAUGUUUCCAGGUGCAAAAGCUUUGGAAGGUGUUUUCAAACAUUUUGGAGAAGCAGGCCUCUGUGACCCCUCCUGCUUUUCUUUAGAAUUUCCUUCCCCAAAGGCCUCUUUAAAUCAGAAUGUAGGCUGUCCUUACCCAGCAAGAACACUUUAAUUUUGCUUAAUAAACACAACCUGAUUGGGUCUGUGCAUCAUUUCUAAGAUAACCUAGGGCCACACAGGUUAAGGCAGGCAGGCGACUGCAGCCUCACAGCCUGGCCUGCAGCUCUGUCCAGGCUGCACGUCAGGGCAGGCGUCUCUCAUCCGGCUCCUAGCAGGAUUGCACGGCUCCUAGCAGGAUUGCACGUACUCCAUUCUGUUCAAUGAGCACAAACUGGGAACCCUCUCUCCACUUCCCAGCUCACAUGGCUCCAUCCCCACUGUCUGUCUUCCUCCCAACUAAGCACAAUUCAAACAGCAAAGUGCAAUGACCAGAUGCAGGCAGGGCAGUAGGAAACCCUGAAAUCAACUCCAUCUCUCACACCCAAUGUGAGAGACUUUCUUGACUUUAGAAAGGUUGGUAGAGAAAGAAUUUUGUCUACUCCAAAGAGAUUUGUUAGAUUUUUUAAUAAGAACAUGGAAAUCCCAAUCAGCCCUUCAAUAAAAUUAAAAUACAGAAAGUGAAAUUAAAAGUAUUCUACAAUAAAUGACUUUUAUUUAAAAAAAAAAAAAAAAGAAAGUAACUGUGAACAUAUAAACAAGGCUGCAGGGUAGUACACCUGGAAAGAGACACAUUUCCCAAUGCACCUAUGGGCCAAUGAAUUCUAUCAUUUCCAAGUAAAUCCUUAAUAAAAACUCCACUGAGUUGGAAAGCUUUGCUGAAAAUAUUCUAGACAAAACUCCAAAAAACAAAAGCAAAACUUCUUUAUAUUGGAGAUCAAACUUUCCACCCCGUUUGGACACACAUGAGGAGUCCCAAGGGAACGCUGGUAAUUGGUGACACAGCUCCUGGGGUCAGCAGUUCACGUGCAGGGAACACUCCGAAGCUCAGACAUGAUGCAGUUCUUUCUCAGAUGACUGCUCCCUCAAGAUAAGACUGAGAAGGACGCGGAGAAACUAAAAAACUCCUAAUAAAAAGCCAAUUCUUU
rnacentral:lncRNA from 1 species